UACGUAGGGGGCAAGCGUUGUCCGGAUUUACUGGGCGUAAAGAGCGCGUAGGCGGAAGCUUAAGCGGUGCCUGAAAGCCCCCGGCUCAACCGGGGAGGGUGGUGCCGAACUGGGCUUCUUGAGGGCGAUAGAGGAGAGUGGAAUUCCUGGUGUAGCGGUGAAAUGCGUAGAUAUCAGGAGGAACACCUGUGGCGAAAGCGGCUCACUGGACCAUAACUGACGCUGAUGCACGAAAGCUAGGGGAGCAAACAGG
rnacentral:rRNA from 1 species